AGUCUAGUACAGGAAUGUACAACAAGCAAGAUUAUGAGUGGUUCAAUUUAAAAGAAGAAUUUGAUACUAUUUAGUUUUGAGUGAAUAACUCAAAGG
rnacentral:rRNA from 1 species